AUGGCGAAGAGCGGCAAGUCGGCCGAGGCGGCGACCUCCACGGCCCCUCCUCCAAGCCCCUCCCCAGCCAUAAAGCCUAAGGCGAAGCCCCGGCUGGAAAUCGAGGGGUACCCCGUGGAGGGCAUCUCCAUCGGCGGGCACGAGACGUGCGUCAUCUUCCCGACGCUGAGCCUCGCCUUCGACAUAGGCCGGUGCCCGCAGCGCGCCGUGGCGCAGGACUUCCUCUUCAUCUCGCACGCCCACCUCGACCACAUCGGGGGCCUCCCCAUGUACGUGGCCACGCGGGGGCUAUACAGGCUGCGCCCGCCCACCAUCUUCGUCCCCAAGUACCUCAGGGAGCUCGUGGAGCGGCUGUUCGACGUGCACCGCGCCAUGGACCAGUCCGAGCUCAACCACACCCUCGUCCCACUCGACAUUGGCGAGGAGUAUGAGCUCAGGAGGGAUCUCAAGGUCAGGGCCUUCAAGACCUACCAUACCAUACCCAGCCAGGGGUACGUGAUAUACUCGGUGAAGCAAAAGCUCAAGCAGGAUUAUCUUGGCCUCCCAGGAAGCGAGAUCAAAAGGUUGAAGCUAUCAGGCGUGGAGAUUACUAAUACAGUGAUAACACCCGAGGUUGCUUUCACUGGGGAUACGAUGUCAGAUUUCAUUCUUGAUCCUGAUAACGCAGACGUAUUGAAGGCGAAAAUUCUUGUGAUGGAGAGUACUUUUCUUGAUGACUCUGUCUCGAUUGAGCAUGCAAGGGAAUAUGGGCACAUACACUUGUUUGAGAUUGCGAAUCACUCUGAGAAGUUUGAAAACAGAGCCAUUCUACUAAUUCACUUUUUGGCUCGUUAUACAACAGAGGAAAUUGAUGCAGGGAUAAGUAGAUUGCCCCCGUCGUUCCGAAGCAGAGUUUAUGCGUUGAAAGAGGGCAUCUGA
rnacentral:rRNA from 1 species